UGUGUAUCAGGCAAUCCUUUGAGUAAAUGAGAACAGGAAAGGGCAGAGGAAAAGUAGUGUAGGUCAUUGAGGGAGGGUACAAAGUUGUUCUCCACACAUUCAGAGACUCAGCCUCUUGCCAUCCUUUGAUGCCACCAUCUUCAACACGUGACCUCCAAGUUUUCUCUGGAACAGGAAGAGCGAACAGAAGAUUAAAUGUGAGAGAUUUUAUGGCCAAGGGGUGGCACAUCAUCACUUCUGUCCACUUUCCCUUGUUCAGAACUCAACCACAAGAUGCCAAGCUAUUUGCUGAGGAUCUGGACAUUUAGCUGUGUGUCCAGUGAGGAAGAAAACUGGGUUUGGUGAACACAUACCAUUGUCUCUGCCAUGGUGAGUUCCUGCUCCUUCCUGUAUCCUUCCCCUAUCCUAAAAUCGUAACAGUUUUAGGUUGAACUUGUAUUCUACGUUUGCAUCUAAGUGAUUAUUGAACUGUUUUUCACUGCUGAGCCAACUAGUGUACUGAGGUUAUGUCCCCUUUCUUGUACAUCUAUUUUUUGAAAAGUUUACACAGAAACAAAAGUUUUGUGUAAACUUUUGCUUUUACACAACAGUUUAAAAUUCUUCCCCAAACACUC
rnacentral:lncRNA from 1 species